CCCCCAGACUCCUACGGGAGGCAGCAGUGGGGAAUAUUGCGCAAUGGGCGAAAGCCUGACGCAGCGACGCCGCGUGAGGGAUGAAGGUCUUCGGAUCGUAAACCUCUGUCAGCAGGGAAGAACGGUCACUGUGCUAAUCAGCAGUGAAUUGACGGUACCUGCAAAGGAAGCACCGGCUAACUACGUGCCAGCAGCCGCGGUAAUACGUAAGUGGCAAGCGUUGUCCGGAUUUACUGGGUGUAAAGGGCGUGUAGCCGGGCUGACAAGUCAGAUGUGAAAUCCGGGGGCUCAACCCCCGAACUGCAUUUGAAACUGUUGGUCUUGAGUAUCGGAGAGGCAGGCGGAAUUCCUAGUGUAGCGGUGAAAUGCGUAGAUAUUAGGAGGAACACCAGUGGCGAAGGCGGCCUGCUGGACGACAACUGACGGUGAGGCGCGAAAGCGUGGGGAGCAAACAGGAUUAGAUACCCCAGUA
rnacentral:rRNA from 1 species